rnacentral:rRNA from 1 species
UACGAAGGGAGCAAGCGUUGCUCGGAUUUAUUGGGCGUAAAGGGUGUGUAGGCGGUUUCAUAAGUUAGAUGUGAAAGCCCAGGGCUUAACCCUGGAAUUGCAUUUAAGACUGUGGAACUUGAAGUUCGAAGAGGUUAGCAGAAUUCCCAGUGUAGAGGUGAAAUUCGUAGAUAUUGGGAAGAAUACCAAUGGCGUAGGCAGCUAACUGGUCGACACUUGACGCUGAGGCACGAAAGCGUGGGUAGCAAACAGG